CCAGUGGGGAGGACGGUUGACCAACAAGGGAGAAACCGAGACCAAAGGGGAAGGCUGUCAGAACGUCUCUUUCACUUCCUCUGAGACCCAAGGAAAUUCCCAGGGUGUGGUGUCCCCCAACCCAGAGUCAUGAGUCAGCAAACUCUCCUUUCCCUGACAACAGAGUGCAAUACGCAGGAUCCUGCUGUGAGUUUGGGGCUUCUGUACAGAGCUCUGGAAGAAAGGUGACCGAGUAUUCCGAGGUGGACAUGUCAAGACAACAACCUUGAGUUAUGGGAAAUGACAGGACUUUCCUAGGGAACUGAGACACAGUACUACGUGCAUCUUUUGGCCAGAGGAAAUCACCGAUUCUAUAUGUGUGUGAAAUUCAAACUCACUUUAUUGCUUCAGAAAGUGGUGGAGCUUGAAAAAUGUCUCUCCAGUUGUAGCUUAUCAGAAAGGAUAGAAAAAACGAGGGGAGAAAGAAGCCAAGAACGAAAACUCUGCAGUAACAGAAGGAAAUGGAAAUGUGGGUUAAUGGGGUCCCACGAAGAUGAAGGCAACCUAGAGGAGAAAGAUAAGUAAAAAGAGAGAGAACCUGGAGCUAAAUAAUAGUGAUGGCUUUUCAGCAGGAGAUUUGUCUGCAUCAAUGAAGGAAAAGGGAUAUGGGAAGACAGGCUAAGCAAAGAAAAGCUAGGAACUCAACUGGUUAGCCAAGAACGGCCAGAGAACACACGAAUUCAACAAGUUGGGGUUGUAGUCAGGAGAUCUGGCAAUCAGAGUUAUGCUUUGGCAGUUCACCAAGUGCUGUGAGUAGGGAACUUCCCAAAACAGCUCUGUCUGCCCCACAUUGGCCCACCAACAAACAUCCACUGGCACUGAGAAGUGUCAACCUGGAAGGAGAUCUCAACAGGACUGUCCCUGAGCUCCCUCUCCCUUGUACGUUCUGUCUAACACUUUUGCAAUGAAGAUGCUGAUAGCACGGCAAUUAAUUGGCAGUUGAAAUAGAACUGGAAGGAGACUUGAAUAAAUUGGAGGACAAAAUCAGGAUCCAAAAACAUAUCACAGUAGGGGGAAUGAUGAGCCAGUUUAAUGAGAUGAAUUUCAACAGAUUAGGGCAAUGUCUUAAAUUUAAGAUGGAAAAAAAGGAAGUGCAUAAAUACAGGAUUUGGGAGACAUGGCUAGAUGGUGAUUUGGAUGGCCUGGAGUCGGGAAACUUGAGUUCAAACACUGCCUCAGACACAUAUUUGAUGUGUAAC